CACGCCAAAAAGUGUGCAAGAACUGGAAGGAGGCCUUGUUCGUGAGAUAUUAUGGUCCAAUCGGAGUUGCCACGGUUUCUCUAUCUUGAACAUGCCCGCCACCUUUUCCCCAAGCUCGGAGAAGGGGAUACUGAAGAGACUAAUCUCACCCGUGCUCUUUCCCCUAUCGCAUAGUUGUUGGUCCUUUUUUUGAUUGUUUUCCACGGUCUCUCAAUUCCAAUUCAUAACAUCAUCUACAAGAUAGCAGGUAUCAAGCCGAUAGUGGAUAAGGCUGGCCAGGUAGAGAUGACGCCAUCUUCGAGGCGGAUGUCGCUACCCAAAAAAUAAUAUGUCGAACGAGAAGCUAAAUUCAAUCACCUUGUGCAACAGGUCCUCGCGCGGUCCCACACGAGGGCCAAAGCAUCUGGGACCUAUCAAGCCCUCACGAUGGGCGAAGUAGAGACUGCUAAGGAGGAGAGCAUAUCGAGCUCCAGUCAGCUUUCUCGAGGUCAGAGCCUUGGUCACGGAAAACGAGCAUCCAUUUUGAGGAUAGCGGAAGCGAACAAGUGUGAUCGUAAUUAGGGUGCGAGAGGCUAGAGACGGCGGACCAGUGGUUUACGUAGAAGCCAGAGGCAGAGCAGAGGCCGUGUAGAAGAGAUAGACGAUAUGAGAUCGAUGGAUUAGCCAGAAUCGCGAGGUUGACGGCAAGAUAGGAGUGCGGCGGAAGUGAUAGGGAUUG
rnacentral:sRNA from 2 species